GACGAACGCUGGCGGCGCGCUUAACACAUGCAAGUCGAACGGAAAGGCCUGCUUUCCCUUGUGGAUUGCGGGUACUCGAGUGGCGAACGGGUGAGUAACACGUGAGUGAUCUGCCCCCAACUUGGGUAUAAGCCUGGGAAACUGGGUCUAAUUCCCGAUAGGACUGCAGGGUGGUGCCUGUGGUGGAAAACGUUUUUCUAGUGGUUGGGAUGGGCUCGCGGACUAUUAGCGUGUUGGUGGGGUAAUGGCCUACCAAGGCGGCGACGGGUAGCCGGCCUGAGAGGGUGGACGGCCACAUUGGGACUGGGAUACGGCCCAGACGCCUACGGGAGGUAGCAGUUGGGAAUAUUGCGCAGUGAGCGGAAGGCUGCUGCAGCGACGGCGCGUGGGGGAUGACGGGCUUCGGGUUGUAUGCUCCUUUCGAACGCGAGGAAGCCACCUGGUUGGAAGGGUGGUGACGGUAGUGGUAGAAGAAGCACCGGCUAACUACGUG
rnacentral:rRNA from 1 species